UGAUUAUCGUUUCGAAGAAACAAUGGGCUCACCUUGCAACGAGGAAACACUUCGAUCCAGCGCGAGGAGAUUCGAACAAAACGGAGCGGCAUCGAUACGCAACACGCUUGAUUAUACGCUGUAAAUUCUGCGAGAGGAAACAUUGGGAAUAGGGAAGAAUGGGUAUGGCGAGGGAGAGUGGCGAGGAGCGAAGGGAAGGAGAGAAGCGAGGAACCAAAGGAAGGAGAGAGGAACGGGGUCCAACAGCAAGAACGCAAG
rnacentral:misc_RNA from 1 species